rnacentral:tmRNA from 1 species
GGGGGCGCCAGGUCUCGACGGGGUAGUGGUCUGCAAGAUGGCGAGCCGUGUCGCCGAGCACGUAAAAGCGGCAAGGCUAUAAACGCCAAUCGCGAACUGGCUCUCGCUGCGUAAGUAGCGAAGUCAUCCGGGGCUUCGGCUCCGGCGCCGGACCGCUCCGAGUCAGCAGGAGCGGAUCUCGGCGGAAAUUUAGCUGACUCGCUCCCGGCGGGCGUCGCGGCCGCCGGGGGGACUCACUACCGCGACUGGUCUGAAGGGAUCCGGUCCCAUGGGAGCCCGACCGACGAGAUUCAAAACCGGGACUACGCUUGUAGAGGUCUUGCGGGACGCUGCUUCGGACGCGAGUUCGAUUCUCGCCGCCUCCACCA